CUCCUCCACCCUUUGUGUACCUACCUCUGUUGCUUUGGCGGGCCGCGGUCCUCCGCGGCCGCCCCCCUCCCCGGGGGGUGGCCAGCGCCCGCCAGAGGACCAUCAAACUCCAGUCAGUAAACGAUGCAGUCUGAAAAACAUUUAAUAAACUAAAACUUUCAACAACGGAUCUCUUGGUUCUGGCAUCGAUGAAGAACGCAGCGAAAUGCGAUAAGUAAUGUGAAUUGCAGAAUUCAGUGAAUCAUCGAAUCUUUGAACGCACAUUGCGCCCUUUGGUAUUCCGAAGGGCAUGCCUGUUCGAGCGUCAUUACAACCCUCAAGCUCUGCUUGGUAUUGGGCACCGUCCUUUGCGGGCGCGCCUCAAAGACCUCGGCGGUGGCGUCUUGCCUCAAGCGUAGUAGAACAUACAUCUCGCUUCGGAGCGCAGGGCGUCGCCCGCCGGACGAACCUUCUGAACUUUUCUCAAGGUUGACCUCGGAUCAGGUAGGGAUACCCGCUGAACUUAAGCAUAUCAAUAAGCGGAGGA
rnacentral:rRNA from 1 species